CUCUUCCAUCUGCACAGGGGCGAAACAGGCUCCGAGCGAUGGGCAUGGAGCCUGACGUGGGGCUUGAACUCACAGAUCGCGAGAUUCGACCUGAGAUACAGUCAGACGCGCAACCAACUGAGCC